AUUGAACGCUGGCGGCAGGCCUAACACAUGCAAGUCGAGCGGAUGAGGGGAGCUUGCUCCUCGAUUCAGCGGCGGACGGGUGAGUAAUGCCUAGGAAUCUGCCUAGUAGUGGGGGACAACGUUUCGAAAGGAACGCUAAUACCGCAUACGUCCUACGGGAGAAAGUGGGGGAUCUUCGGACCUCACGCUAUUAGAUGAGCCUAGGUCGGAUUAGCUAGUUGGUAGGGUAAAGGCCUACCAAGGCGACGAUCCGUAACUGGUCUGAGAGGAUGAUCAGUCACACUGGAACGGAGACACGGUCCAGAGUCCUACGGGAGGCAGCAGUGAGGAAUAUUGGACAAUGGGCGAAAGCCUGAUCCAGCCAUGCCGCGUGUGUGAAGAAGGCCUUCGGGUCGUAAAGCACUUUAAGUUGGGAGGAAGGGCUCAUAGCGAAUACCUGUGAGUUUUGACGUUACCAACAGAAUAAGCACCGGCUAACUUCGUGCCAGCCGCCGCGGUAAAAC
rnacentral:rRNA from 1 species